GAUGAACGCUGGCGGCGUGCCUAAUACAUGCAAGUCGAGCGAACAGACGAGGAGCUUGCUCCUCUGACGUUAGCGGCGGACGGGUGAGUAACACGUGGAUAACCUACCUAUAAGACUGGUAUAACUUCGGGAAACCGGAGCUAAUACCGGAUAAUAUAUUGAACCGCAUGGUUCAAUAGUGAAAGACGGUUUUGCUGUCACUUAUAGAUGGAUCCGCGCCGCAUUAGCUAGUUGGUAAGGUAACGGCUUACCAAGGCAACGAUGCGUAGCCGACCUGAUAGGGUGAUCGGCCACACUGGAACUGAGCCGCGGUCCAGACGCCUACGGGAGGCAGCAGUAGGGAAUCUUCCGCAAUGGUCGAAAGCCUGACGGAGCAACGCCGCGUGAGUGAUGAAGGUCUUCGGAUCGUAAUACUCUGUUAUUAGGGAAGAACAAAUGUGUAAGUAACUAUGCACGUCUUGACGGUACCUAAUCAGAAAGCCACGGCUAACUACGUG
rnacentral:rRNA from 1 species